rnacentral:rRNA from 1 species
CCUACGGGAGGCAGCAGUGGGGAAUAUUGCGCAAUGGGCGAAAGCCUGACGCAGCGACGCCGCGUGAGGGAUGAAGGUCUUCGGAUCGGAAACCUCUGUCAGCAGGGAAGAACGGUCACUGUGCUAAUCAGCAGUGAAUUGACGGUACCUGCAAAGGAAGCACCGGCUAACUCCGUGCCAGCAGCCGCGGUAAUACGGAGGGUGCGAGCGUUAAUCGGAAUUACUGGGCGUAAGGGGCGCGUAGGCGGUAUGUCAAGUCAAGGGUGAAAUCCCCGCGCUCAACGUGGGAACUGCCUUUGAAACUGGCAAACUGGAGUGUGUGAGAGGAUGGUGGAAUGCCAGGUGUAGGAGUGAAAUCCGUAGAUAUCUGGAGGAACAUCAGUGGCGAAGGCGACUAUCUGGCACAUAACUGACGCUGAGGAGCGAAAGCGUGGGUAGCAAACAGGAUUAGAUACCCUUGUAGUC